rnacentral:SRP_RNA from 1 species
GCCAGGCAUGGUGGCGCAUGCCUGUAGUCUCAGCUACUUGGGAGGCUGAGGUGGGAGGAUCGCUUGAGCCCAGGAGUUCUGGACUGCAGUGCGCUAUGCCGAUAGGGUGUCCGCACUAAGUUUAGCAUCAAUAUGGUGACCUCCCAGGAGCGGGGAACCACCAGGUUGCCUAAGGAGGGGUGAACCGGCCCAGGUUGGAAACGGAGCAGGUCAAAACUCCCAUGCUGAUCAGUAGUGGGAUCGUGCCUGUGAAUGGCCACUGCACUCCAGCCUGGGCAACAUAGUGAGACCCCGUCUCU